rnacentral:rRNA from 1 species
GGCGCACGGGUGAGUAACGCGUAUCCAACCUGCCCAUGUCUGGGGAAUAACCCGUCGAAAGGCGGACUAACUCCCCAUGGUCUCCGAUGAGGACAUCUGAAUUGGAGUAAAGCUUCGCGGACAUGGAUGGGGAUGCGUCUGAUUAGGUAGUAGGCGGGGUAACGGCCCACCUAGCCUACGAUCAGUAGGGGUUCUGAGAGGAAGGUCCCCCACAUUGGAACUGAGACACGGUCCAAACUCCUACGGGAGGCAGCAGUGAGGAAUAUUGGUCAAUGGACGAGAGUCUGAACCAGCCAAGUAGCGUGCAGGAUGACGGCCCUAUGGGUUGUAAACUGCUUUUGCGCGGGGAUAACACCCUCCACGUGCUGGAGGUCUGCAGGUACCGCGCGAAUAAGGACCGGCUAAUUCCGUGCCAGCAGCCGCGGUAAUACGGAAGGUCCGGGCGUUAUCCGGAUUUAUUGGGUUUAAAGGGAGCGUAGGCCGUGAGGUAAGCGUGUUGUGAAAUGUAGGCGCCCAACGUCUGCACUGCAGCGCGAACUGCCCCACUUGAGUGCGCGCAACGCCGGCGGAACUCGUCGUGUAGCGGUGAAAUGCUUAGAUAUGACGAAGAACCCCGAUUGCGAAGGCAGCUGGCGGGAGCGUAACUGACGCUGAAGCUCGAAAGCGCGGGUAUCGAACAGGAUUAGAUACCCUGGUAGUCCGCACGGUAAACGAUGGAUGCCCGCUGUGGCGCGCCUGGCGUGCCGCGGCUAAGCGAAAGCAUUAAGCAUCCCACCUGGGGAGUACGCCGGCAACGGUGAAACUCAAAGGAAUUGACGGGGGCCCGCACAAGCGGAGGAACAUGUGGUUUAAUUCGAUGAUACGCGAGGAACCUUACCCGGGCUUGAACUGCAGGAGAACGAUUCAGAGAUGAUGAGGUCCUUCGGGACUCCUGUGGAGGUGCUGCAUGGUUGUCGUCAGCUCGUGCCGUG